AGAAUCAACGCUGGCGGCGUGCCUAACACAUGCAAGUCGAACGAGAAAGUGGAGCAAUCCAUGAGUAAAGUGGCGACCGGGUGAGUAACACGUGACCAAUCUACCCUUGAGUGGGGGAUAACCUCGGGAAACCGGGGCUAAUACCGCAUAAUAUCUUCGGAACGGAAGUACUGAAGAUCAAAGGAGCAAUUCGCUUGAGGAGGAGGUCGCGGCUGAUUAGCUAGUUGGCGGGGUAAUGGCCCACCAAGGCAAAGAUCGGUA
rnacentral:rRNA from 1 species